GAUGAACGCUGGCGGCGUGCCUAAUACAUGUAAGUCGAGCGAACGGACGAGAAGCUUGCUUCUCUGAUGUUAGCGGCGGACGGGUGAGUAACACGUGGAUAACCUACCUAUAAGACUGGGAUAACUUCGGGAAACCGGAGCUAAUACCGGAUAAUAUUUUGAACCGCAUGGUUCAAAAGUGAAAGACGGUCUUGCUGUCACUUAUAGAUGGAUCCGCGCUGCAUUAGCUAGUUGGUAAGGUAACGGCUUACCAAGGCAACGAUGCAUAGCCGACCUGAGAGGGUGAUCGGCCACACUGGAACUGAGACACGGUCCAGACUCCUACGGGAGGCAGCAGUAGGGAAUCUUCCGCAAAGGGCGAAAGCCUGACGGAGCAACGCCGCGUGAGUGAUGAAGGUCUUCGGAUCGUAAAACUCUGUUAUUAGGGAAGAACAAAUGUGUAAGUAACUGUGCACAUCUUGACGGUACCUAAUCAGAAAGCCACGGCUAACUACGUG
rnacentral:rRNA from 1 species